rnacentral:rRNA from 1 species
GGGGAUAACCCGCCGAAAGGUGGGCUAAUACCGGAUGUGGUUCUCUCUCGCAUGAGAGAGCGACCAAAGGCGGGGAUUCUUCGGAACCUGUCGCUUCAGGAGGGGCCCGCGUCCCAUCAGCUAGUUGGUGAGGUAACGGCUCACCAAGGCUUACGGGUAGCUGGUCUGAGAGGAUGGUCAGCCACACUGGGACUGAGACACUGCCCAGACUCCUACGGGAGGCUGCAGUCGAGGAUCAUUUGCAAUGGGCGAAAGCCUGACAGUGCGACGCUGCGUGGAGGAUGAAGGCCUUCGGGUUGUAAACUCCUGUCAUUCGGGAACAAUAGCAGGGGAAUUAAUAUAUCUUCUGUUUGAUGGUACCGGAAGAGGAAGCCACGGCUAACUCUGUGCCAGCAGCCGCGGUAAUACAGAGGUGGCGAGCGUUGUUCGGAUUUACUGGGCGUAAAGGGUGCGUAGGCGGCUUUGUGUGUCGGAUGUGAAAUCCCACUGCACAACGGUGGAACUGCAUUCGAAACUGCAGGGCUAGAGUACAGAAGGGGAGAGCGGAAUUCUUGGUGUAGCGGUGAAAUGCGUUGAUAUCAAGAAGAACACCGGUGGCGAAGGCGGCUCUCUGGAAUGUUACUGACGCUGAGGCACGAAAGCUGGGGGAGCAAACAGGAUUAGAUACCCUGGUAGUCCCAGCCCUAAACGGUGCGCACUUGGUGUGGGGAGAUUUGACCCUCUCCGUGCCGGAGUUAACACGUUAAGUGCGCCGCCUGGGGAGUACGGCCGCAAGGUUAAAACUCAAAGAAAUUGACGGGGGCCCGCACAAGCGGAGGAGCAUGUGGCUUAAUUCGAUGCCACGCGAAGAACCUUACCUGGGCUUGACAUGCAGCUGCAGUCCCGAUGAAAGUUGGGAUGCCUUCGAGGGUGCUGCACAGGUGCUGCAUGGCUGUCGUCAGUUCGUGCCGUGAGGUGUUUGGUUAAGUCCAGCAACGAACGCAACCCUUGUGUCUAGUUGCCACCUCCGAUGAUGAAUCGGGGAGCACUUUAGACAGACUGCCCGUGUAAGCGGGAGGAAGGUGGGGAUGACGUCAAGUCAGUAUGGCCCUUACGCCCAGGGCUGCACACGUGCUACAAUGGAAGCUACAGAAGGAUGCAAGACCGCGAGGUGGAGCUAAUCCUGAAAAGUUUCCUCAGUUCAGAUUGAAGUCUGCAACUCGACUUCAUGAAG